rnacentral:rRNA from 1 species
GACGAACGCUGGCGUCGUGCUUAACACAUGCAAGUAGAGCGGAGCGGCGAAAGGGUGAGUAACGCGUGAGUAACUGCCCCCCUCUCUGGGAUCACAGUUGGAAACGGCUGCUAAUACCGGCUAGUGGGGGAUGACUCGCGUCCUAGCAGCUUGUGGGUGGGGUAGUGGCCUACCAAGGUGACGACGGGUGGCCGUACUGAGAGGGCGACCGGCCACGUGGGACGGAGAUACGGCCCUAACGCUGACGGGAGGGAGCCGUGAGGAAUAUUGCACAAUGUGGUAAGCCCGGAUGCAGCAACGCGCGUGCGGGAGGACGGCCUUCGGGUUGUAAACCGCUUUCAGCCAUGACGCGGUAGUGGCAGCAGAAGCACCGGCUAGCUACGUGCCAGCAGCCGCGGUAAUAC